rnacentral:rRNA from 1 species
CAGUCGCCGCGGUAAUACGUAGGUGGCGAGCGUUGUCCGGAAUUAUUGGGCGUAAAGGGAGCGCAGGCGGACAUAUAAGUCCAUCUUAAAAGUGCGGGGCUCAACCCCGUGAGGGGAUGGAAACUGUAUGCCUUGUGUGCAGGAGAGGAAAGCGGAAUUCCCAGUGUAGCGGUGAAACGCGUAGAUAUUGGGAGGAACACCAGUGGCGAAGGCGGCUUUCUGGACUGCAACUGACGCUGAGGCUCGAAAGCCAGGGGAGCGAACGGGAUUAGAUACCCCCGUAGUCCCUGUCUCUUAUACC